rnacentral:rRNA from 1 species
UAGGAAAUCUUCCACAAUGGACGCAAGUCUGAUGGAGCAACGCCGCGUGAGUGAAGAAGGUUUUCGGAUCGUAAAGCUCUGUUGUUGGUGAAGAAGGAUAGAGGCAGUAACUGGUCUUUAUUUGACGGUAAUCAACCAGAAAGUCACGGCUAACUACGUGCCAGCAGCCGCGGUAAUACGUAGGUGGCAAGCGUUGUCCGGAUUUAUUGGGCGUAAAGCGAGCGCAGGCGGAAUGAUAAGUCUGAUGUGAAAGCCCACGGCUCAACCGUGGAACUGCAUCGGAAACUGUCAUUCUUGAGUGCAGAAGAGGAGAGUGGAAUUCCAUGUGUAGCGGUGGAAUGCGUAGAUAUAUGGAAGAACACCAGUGGCGAAGGCGGCUCUCUGGUCUGCAACUGACGCUGAGGCUCGAAAGCAUGGGUAGCGAACAGG